UUGGAGGGCAAGUCUGGUGCCAGCAGCCGCGGUAAUUCCAGCUCCAAUAGCGUAUAUUAAAGUUGUUGCAGUUAAAAAGCUCGUAGUUGAAUUUCGGGGUUAGUAGGUUGGUCGUGCCUCAGGUAUGUACUGAUCUCACUGAUUCCUCCUUCCUGAUGAACCGUAAUGCCAUUAAUUUGGUGUUGCGAGGAAACUGGACUGUUACUUUGAAAAAAUUAGAGUGUUUAAAGCAGGCUAACGCUUGAAUACAUUAGCAUGGAAUAAUGAAAUAGGACGUUCGAUCCUAUUUUGUUGGUUUCUAGGAUUGACGUAAUGAUUAAUAGGGAUAGUUGGGGGCAUUAGUAUUCAAUUGUCAGAGGUGAAAUUCUUGGAUUUAUUGAAGACUAACUACUGCGAAAGCAUUUGCCAAGGAUGUUUUCAUUAAUCAAGAACGAAAGUUAGGGGAUCGAAGACGAUCAGAUACCGUCGUAGUCUUAACCAUAAACUAUGCCGACUAGGGAUCGGAUGAUGUUAAUUUUUUAAUGACUCAUUCGGCGCCUUACGGGAAA
rnacentral:rRNA from 1 species